rnacentral:rRNA from 1 species
AUUGAACGCUGGCGGCAGGCCUAACACAUGCAAGUCGAGCGGAUGAAGGGAGCUUGCUCCUGGAUUCAGCGGCGGACGGGUGAGUAAUGCCUAGGAAUCUGCCUGGUAGUGGGGGAUAACGUCCGGAAACGGGCGCUAAUACCGCAUACGUCCUGAGGGAGAAAGUGGGGGAUCUUCGGACCUCACGCUAUCAGAUGAGCCUAGGUCGGAUUAGCUAGCUGGUGGGGUAAAGGCCUACCAAGGCGACGAUCCGUAACCGGUCUGAGAGGAUGAUCAGUCACACUGGAACUGAGACACGGUCCAGACUCCUACGGGAGGCAGCAGUGGGGAAUAUUGGACAAUGGGCGAAAGCCUGAUCCAGCCAUGCCGCGUGUGUGAAGAAGGUCUUCGGAUUGUAAAGCACUUUAAGUUGGGAGGAAGGGCAGUAAGUUAAUACCUUGCUGUUUUGACGUUACCAACAGAAUAAGCACCGGCUAACUUCGUG